rnacentral:tRNA from 1 species
AAGGAUAUAGCUCAAGUGGUAGAGCACAUGCUAGCAUGCACAAGGUCCUGGGUUCAAUCCCCAGUAUCUCCU